rnacentral:ncRNA from 1 species
AAGGUGAAACCCGAAAAACCUUUAAAGAGUAGGGA